GUAGGUGGCAAGCGUUGUCCGGAAUUAUUGGGCGUAAAAGCGCGCGCAGGCGGGGUCCUUUAAAGUCUGAUGUGAAAGCCCACGGGCUCAACCGUGGAGGGUCAUUGGAAACUGGGGGACUUGAGUACAGAAGAGGAAAGCGGAAUUCCAAGUGUAGCGGUGAAAUGCGUAGAGAUUUGGAGGAACACCAGUGGCGAAGGCGGCUUUCUGGUCUGUAACUGACGCUGAGGCGCGAAAGCGUGGGGAGCAAACAGGAUUAGAUACCCUGGUAGUCCACGCCGUAAACGAUGAGUGCUAAGUGUAGGGGUUUCCGCCCCUUAGUGCUGCAGCUAACGCAUUAAGCACUCCGCCUGGGGAGUACGGCCGCAAAGGCUG
rnacentral:rRNA from 1 species